GUUAGGAAUAUUGGACAAUGGGCGCAAGCCUGAUCCAGCCAUGCCGCGUGAACGAUGAAGGCCUUCGGGUUGUAAAGUUCUUUAGCCGAUGAUUAUAAUGACUGUAGUCGGAAAAUAAGCCCCGGCUAACUUCGUGCCAGCAGCCGCGGUAAUACGAAGGGGGCGAGCGUUAUUCGGAAUCACUGGGCGUAAAGCGUGCGUAGGCGGUUUUGUAAGUUAGGAGUGAAAGCCCAGGGCUCAACCUUGGAAUUGCUCUUAAAACUGCAAAGCUAGAAUCUCGGAGAGGAUAGCGGAAUUUCCAGUGUAGCAGUGAAAUGCGUAGAUAUUGGAAGGAACACCAGUGGCGUAAGCGGCUAUCUGGACGAGUAUUGACGCUGAGGCACGAAAGCGUGGGGAUCAAACAGGAUUAGAAACCCUGGUAGUCC
rnacentral:rRNA from 1 species